ensembl:lncRNA novel transcript
CGCACAGCUCGGGCGCGCAGUCCGGGGUUAGGCAGGCUGCAGUGGAGGAGGGUACGCCGUUCCAUUGGCGUGGUACUGUCGGCGGCCCUUCAGAGGAGAUGCUGCCCCACGGAACGCCUGGCAAGUGCUGGCGAAGCGGCAUGGGCGUCCCACUCCGUUCCUCAACCAAUUUCCUCACAAUCGCGAGCCGAAGUGUGGCGCUUUGGCAGUUUCGCAAGGUCUUUUGUCAGGAGAUGAGUUACUGAGGAUUGGGGGUCUUUGGAGCUCUUGGACCUGAAGAACGAUUAAGUUUUUCUCCCUUCAGAGAGCCAAGAGAUGGGGUCUUGCUGUGUUGCCCAGGGUGGAGUGCAGUGGCUAUUCACAGGUGUGAUCAUAGCUACUAUAGCCUCAAACCCUGGGUUCAAGUGAGUCCUUUGAACUAGAACAUUGGCCUUUUCUGGUUCUGCAGAAGCUUCCAGCCUUCAGAUUUGAACUGGGACACUGGCUCUGCAGAUUUUGGACUUGCCAGCCUUCAUAAUUGUGGUCCUGCUCUGUUGCCCAGGCUGGAGGGCAGUGGCGUGAUCAUGGCUUACUGCAGCCUUGACCUCCUGCGCUCAAGUGAUCCUCCUGCCUCAGCCUCCUGGAACAUGUGGUUUUGAGCUUCAGAGCUCAGUGGCCUCAGACAGGGGCGUUGUGGCUGCAGUGUCCACUGCCUGCCCAGAGAACCUACACUCCUGUCAUUUGUGGAAUGAUUGCUGGAGCCAGAGGCCAGGAAGAAGUUCAUGAGCCUGAGAGAAAAAGCAAGGAUUUCCAGUUCUACCCUCUUGGACUUGACCCUCUGCAGGCUCUCCACAUGCUCCGUCAGCUCGGCCAUGGAGUCCACGUGCUUCUUGCGCAGUGUGGAGGCCGUCGCCUCGCUCUGCAGGGCGGCCUCUUCCAGCUCCCGCCGCAGCUUCAGCAGCUCAGCCUCCCGCUUGCGGUUCUGCUCGAUCUGGGGUAGAGGAGGAGCAGCUUAGCAGAACUGGCCAGUGCCAGCCUUUUCCGGGUGGACACCGCCCAGCUGCUCGGUGGUCCCC